rnacentral:lncRNA from 10 species
GCUAAAAUUCUAGAGCAGAAUCCCUGGGGCAGCCCCUGCUGAAGAAGGGUGCAUCUGUUGAGAAUCUCAUCACCGCCCCCACCCCGCCCAGCCUUCAAUUUAGAGGAAUUUCUAGUUCACGCAGAAUGAAGACAAGAUCACAUAAGUGAGGACGACGCCCCAUUUACAAGUGUGAUUUGGAAGACUGAAGUGGAAACCUUGGGAAGGGGCCUCAGAGUAUGUCAGCUGGGGUCAGACGGGAACAGGAGUCUGGCUCAACACACAUUUAUUGCACUCCUGUUUCAUGCCAAGAAAUGUACCAAAAUCUGGGACUGUGUAACACAGCAAAGGAAAAGACUCAUCUCCAGGAAGCCCCCUUGUCUAGGAAGAGAAAUUGAAUAUCAGCAUAAGGUGGUGAAAAGCUGUGAAGGAGAUGAGUGCCAGGAGUCCAUGGAGGAAGGAUUCUAGCCUGGACAGGUGAUUGUGGUGAAUAGUCAUGAGAAUCUGGGAACUGGCUCCUGCUCUGUCUAUCUUGGAGAUGCAUCUUUUGUGAGAAGCCAGGGCAAGAAUAGGGAGGCUUAGGCAAUGGGAAGUUUCUGAGUAGAUAAAGCAGAUGGCAGAGCAAAGGGACAGAGCCUGGCGAGAGGCUACUCCCUGUAGCAACCUGCCUAAGAGUGAGAGGAAAGCAAGGCAUGGCUAUGAGCACGUGUAGUCUCAGCUACUUGGGAAGCUGAGGCUGGGGGAUCACUUGAGCCCAGGAGUUCAAGACCAGCCUAGGCAACAUAGUGAGA